CGCCCCUUUUUCCAGGCGGCAGCCAGGUCUUUCUCGCCAUGUCGCGGAAACGCUGCGUGUUUCGGUGCGAAAGCAAAACCUCUUUGUUUAGCCUUCCGAAAACGGAUGAAAUUAGGAACCAGUGGUUACUGUUUAUUUAUAACGCUGUUCCUGAUGAGUACAACCCGAAUGUCUGCUUAUGCACAGAGCAUUUCACCGAGGACAGCUUCCUGAACCUGGGCGAGUACAACGCAGGCUACACACAAAGACUGCUCCUGAAACCUGGAGCGACUCCCACUUUAUUCGGACAGUCUUGUGUGUCUGAAUCAGAGCCGGUACGUGUUUCAUUAUUUUAUCUUUUAAAAAUGAUUUGAUAUUGUGUUCUGCUGUGGACUGUUGAAAUGCGGAGUUUUGUGUUGUGGCCUAGCUGAAGGUUCUGCUAACGUGCUAAAGUUGUGAUGUUCAGCUGUGGACACUGUUCCCUGUAAACGUGCAGAGUGACGCGUGUUAUUUCUCGUCAUGAACUGCAGAGAUGGACUCAUGUUUACACAAGCCUUUGUUUUCGCUUCUAACUGGAGGCAGAAGUUCAUCUCCACCUGGUCCAUGAAGAGAGGUCUGACCUCGGUGGACCACGUGUCUCAGCCGUGUGCACAUUCCCCUGACCCCCUCACCUGUCUGUGUUCUGUCCCUCUUUGUCUGUCGAGGUCAUAAGACACACUAAAUGUUUAUUUUUUUAUAUACGAGUUGAAGGUUUCAUUUUCCAUCAAGUGGAUUUAAUUCUUCAUUUUUGUGUUAUUUCUGUUAGAGUACAUCUCAGCAGGGCCACGGUUCACAGCAGUUCUCCACUCUAUCCAGAAGCCAUCAUGUGGGAUGUCAGACGGACGGCGUAGAGACGAGAUCAGUGGGCACACUGCCUUUAGCGUCGCCAAAGAUGCGAUCAGUUGGCACACAACUGUCCAUGGGUACACUGAAGGGCACGCAUGUACGCAGCAAAGGCACCCAGGCUACGGUUUCUUGUCUGGAUGUAGGCACUGAAACCGCCCACAUCCCUUCAACACCCAUAAACACCCGUGCUUUCAGACCACGUAAGAGACCUCGUCUGGAGGAGGAGGAGGAGGAGGAGGAUGGAGACGGGCGUUUCUGAAAUCAUGAAAACCCAUGACUCCGCGUAUAAACCAGGUGACUCGGAGGAGUCCGAAUUAUUGCCACAGUCAUCGUACAGCGUUCCAAAAUACAUUGUUUUUGAAAGCUGCCUCCAAGAGAUGUUUGAGACACGUCCAUUUCAUAAGACCAAGUGUGAAGUCCAUAGUAGACGAAUAGGCACACUCACCCAGGUUUGCCCAGACUGUAACCAUCACAGACAAUGGGAGAGUCAGCCUAUCAUUGGAAGUACCCCCAUUGGAAACCCACUGAUGUCUGCAGCUACUUGGGCCUUGUUUUUUCACUUGAAAAGAUCUCCAAGGUCAUGCAGAUUGAGAUGAUCCAGUAUAGUCUGUUCAGGAGACAUGCUAGGAACUUCUUGGAGCUUGCUAUAAUAUACAAGUGGAACUUGGACAGGAAAAGGGUGGCCAAGUGCACUUCGCUACGCAACCACAUCCAAAACGUCUAUGUCCGUGAAAACCCUGUCUUCCCGAAGUGUGAACAUCCAGACAGUUUUUAGGGAUCCCAAAAACUGGUUCCACCCGGUGGAAAAAGUGGAAAAGGUCCUGAACAAGAAGAGUCCUGUAGGAUGUGGAAAAGCUCAGUCAUCACUACCAGACAUCUUCGCUGGAGGCCUUCCAUGGCGUGAUCCUGUGUUUUGCUCCCAGGACUGUGGUUUUCUCUUUCAUUGGAAUGUUGUGCAGGUUGUACCUUGCGGCUGUGCAUUACAAUGAAAAUGCAGACCGUGAACAGGCAACAUCAGCGGGACAAGCAGCGUACCCCUUCCCACGUUCCUGUCCUCACAGUUUGAAAAACCUUCAAAGGAGGGAGUUAUUGUCAGUCCACGUUAAGAGGUGGUCGAAAACCAGCAAACUGUCCAUCCGGAUCAGGAAACUCCAGAUAUAUCCACAGCACAACACAGGACUGGAGGACUAAGUAGCCCCAGCUGAUGAAUCUUUGAUAGGUGGCAUAACGGUGCCGUCUGUAAUAAGAAAGGUGGACUCUAUUACGAUUGUAGAUAAAACUGUAUAACGUGUACAGUUCAAUUGGUGUAAAAAAAAAAAAAUUUGUUUACAACUCUUACUAAAAGUAAAUAUAUCUUGAUAAAUAUUUUCUAUAGUGACAUUUAUUUAUUUAUUCACAUUUUCAUUUGUUUUGUUGCAGUGGUAUCAUGAACAUAAAAUGUCCUAAGAACAUACUCUUCUUUUACUCUGCACUUCAAAGGUCCAUAGUCAACUCAGUAAAUGUAUGAAUUAUCUGAAGGGUGUAAGGAUUCAAACAGUUCGCUUCAAAGUCUGGAUGGCGCAUCAUACAUUUUGGCGUGUCGGUAACCUGGUUCAUUCACCUUACAACCUAAGAAGGGAAGACAACCUAGUAACUGUUUAUAAUGCAGUCAACAUUAGACACUAAAGGAAAAAGAAAAUUUUUCCCCCCAAAUGUUCAAAUAUGUGACAACUGCUAGUGUAGAAAUGUUUCUUAGAAAGAAUAUUGAAUAUAUAUGUUACUUUAUGUAGUGUUUUUUAUUAUAGUACCUUUUUACAUUUCCAACUUCACGUGGCAUUCUAAGACAGUUUUCACAUCCGCACCUAAAUAAAUUAUAAAGGUAUAUCGCAUAAGUACAGAUGUGCACACAGAAGCCGUGUACAUGGCAUGGUUUUGCACUUGACAACGCGGCAGGCUGUCGGAAUUUUAUAACAUUGUAUCUGAAAGGUAAGAGUUACAAAAUAAAACCUUAACCACUGUGAAACAUUCCGCUCAAGUCAUGUUUGCGAGCUUGCUUCCGCUUGUUCAUCUGCAUUUUCAGAAUCUGGCUCGGACUGAUAGGGUAAAAACAUAGAAUUGCUUUAGAUGCUUUGGAGGUUGGCGCUAACCUAAGGAGUGUUCCAUUUCUAACUCGCAUUUGAGGUUUUUGGUCAAUCACAAUGUAACAGGUCAGCUGGCCAAUCAGAGCUCUCUGGGCUUUUCAGAAGGCGGGGCUUUGCAGAAAUUGGAGCAUUUCAGGCAGCCUGGGAAUAGACGUAUUGCAGUAUUACUUGACAAAUAAUGUGUUUGUUUUUUUAAUGUUAAAGCAUGUUCACCUAUUUAAUUACACCCAACAAACAACAUGAUUAACGUUUAAAAACUUGUGAAAAAUUAUGAAAUUACUUAAGUUCUCACCCUUCAAAGUGAUAAGUUUACUGUGAACACUCUUCCCUCUUUGUCCCCUUGUGUGAACACCUCUUCCUCUUUGCUGCUCUGUAACUCUUCCCAACCAGGUACAGACAUAAAACCUCUCACCGUUUGCAUGUUCCUUUGUCUCCUGAACACCAUCAUCUCACAUUCCAUGACUUCCUGAAUACCGUAUAUGGAGUUGUUCUUCUCUUACACUGAUAUGCUUCUUGUUUUAUGCAGUUAUGCCCUUCUGCCUAGUGAAUCAAUAGUUAACCCAUUGUCUCUGUUGUGUGUCAAGCCUUUCUUUGAAUAAAUUAGAGCACUUGCCAUUUGA